GACGAAGGGGGCAAGCGUUGUUCGGAAUUACUGGGCGUAAAGGGCGCGUAGGCGGUCUUUUAAGUCAGGCGUGAAAGCCCUGGGCUCAACCUGGGAGUGGCGCUUGAUACUGGAGGACUAGAGAGUGGGAGAGGUUGGUGGAAUUCCCAGUGUAGAGGUGAAAUUCGUAGAUAUUGGGAAGAACACCGGUGGCGAAGGCGGCCAACUGGACCACUUCUGACGCUGAGGCGCGAAAGCGUGGGGAGCAAACAGG
rnacentral:rRNA from 1 species